rnacentral:rRNA from 1 species
AAUAGAUACCCGGGUAGUCCACGCCGUAAACGAUGGAUACUAGCUGUUUGAGCGCAAAUUUGAGUGGCUAAGCGAAAGUGAUAAGUAUCCCACCUGGGGAGUACGGGCGCAAGCCUGAAACUCAAAGGAAUUGACGGGGGCCCGCACAAGCGGUGGAGCAUGUGGUUUAAUUCGAUGAUACGCGAGGAACCUUACCAGGGCUUAAAUGUAGAUUGACGUAUUUGGAAACAGAUAUUUCUUCGGACAAUUUACAAGGUGCUGCAUGGUUGUCGUCAGCUCGUGCCGUGAGGUGUCAGGUUAAGUCCUAUAACGAGCGCAACCCCUGUUGUUAGUUGCCAGCGAGUAAUGUCGGGAACUCUAGCAAGACUGCCAGUGUAAACUGUGAGGAAGGUGGGGAUGACGUCAAAUCAUCACGGCCCUUACGUCCUGGGCCACACACGUGCUACAAUGGCCGGUACAGAGAGCAGCCACUUAGCGAUAAGGAGCGAAUCUAUAAAGCCGGUCACAGUUCGGAUCGGAGUCUGCAAC